rnacentral:rRNA from 1 species
UGGGAAUAUUGCACAAUGGGGCGAAAGCCUGAUGCAGCAACGCCGCGUGAGCGAAGAAGGUCUUCGGAUCGUAAAGCUCUGUCCUUGGGGAAGAUAAUGACGGUACCUGACUAAGAAGCACCGGCUAAAUACGUGCCAGCAGCCGCGGUAAUACGUAUGGUGCAAGCGUUAUCCGGAUUUACUGGGUGUAAAGGGAGCGCAGGCGGUGCGGCAAGUCUGAUGUGAAGGCCCGGGGCUCAACCCCGGUACUGCAUUGGAAACUGUCGUACUAGAGUGUCGGAGGGGUAAGUGGAAUUCCUAGUGUAGCGGUGAAAUGCGUAGAUAUUAGGAGGAACACCAGUGGCGAAGGCGGCUUACUGGACGAUAACUGACGCUGAGGCUCGAAAGCGUGGGGAGCAAACAGGAUUAGAUACCC